rnacentral:rRNA from 1 species
CAGAAUGAACGUUGGCGGCGUGGAUUAGGCAUGCAAGUCGAGCGCGAACCAGUCUUCGGACUGGGGAGAGCGGCGAACGGGGUAGGAUCACCUCGGUGACGUACCCCCCGGUCGGGGAUAGCGGCGGGAAACUGCCGGUAAUACCCGAUGAUCUUCCCAGGUUUUACGACAGGGGAAGCAAAGGUGAGAUUCCGUCGGGGGAGCGGCUGAGGUCGUAUUAGCUAGUUGGUAAGGUAACGGCUUACCAAGGCGAUGAUGCGUAGGGGGUGUGAGAGCAUGGCCCCCACCACUGGCACUGAGACACUGGCCAGACACCUACGGGUGGCUGCAGUCGAGAAUCUUCGGCAAUGGGCGCAAGCCUGACCGAGCGACGCCGCGUGCGGGAUGAAGGUCUUCGGAUUGUAAACCGCUGUCGGAGGGGAUGAAAUGCAGGGGGGUACUCCCCCCUGUUUGACAGAGCCUCGGAGGAAGCACGGGCUAAGUUCGUGCCAGCAGCCGCGGUAAUACGAACUGUGCGAACGUUAUUCGGAAUCACUGGGCUUAAAGGGUGCGUAGGCGGCGACUCAAGUCAGGUGUGAAAUCCCCCGGCUCAACCGGGGAACUGCGCUUGAAACUGGGUCGCUCGAGUGAGGUAGGGGUGUAUGGAACUUCCGGUGGAGCGGUGAAAUGUGUAGAUAUCGGAAGGAACGCCGGCGGCGAAAGCGGUACACUGGGCCUUGUCUGACGCUGAGGCACGAAAGCUAGGGGAGUGAACGGGAUUAGAUACCCCGGUAAUCCUAGCCGUAAACACUGAGCACUGGAGGAGAGGGGCUUCGGCCUUUCUCCUCGCAGCGAAAGCGUUAAGUGCUCCGCCUGGGGAGUAUGGA